rnacentral:rRNA from 1 species
UACGUAGGGUGCAAGCGUUGUCCGGAAUUAUUGGGCGUAAAGAGCUCGUAGGCGGUUUGUCGCGUCUGCUGUGAAAACCCGAGGCUCAACCUCGGGCCUGCAGUGGGUACGGGCAGACUAGAGUGCGGUAGGGGAGAUUGGAAUUCCUGGUGUAGCGGUGGAAUGCGCAGAUAUCAGGAGGAACACCAAUGGCGAAGGCAGAUCUCUGGGCCGUAACUGACGCUGAGGAGCGAAAGCAUGGGGAGCGAAUGGG